UUAACUUUUUACCCAAACUUUAAUAUGCAUGAUACCUAAUUCGGGUUGAAAGAAAUCUAUAUGGAAAGUAUGCAUAAAUACUUGAACCCUACAAAACAUGUACUUGUAUAAGUGUAAACAAUUAAAUCCUGAAUUCAUUAUUUAUUCAUAUUGAACAUCGAUUAAAGACGACUACACUCAAUCGGGCGUAGUUUUAGCAAUACAUGCCGUCACAUUGGACGUCGGUUAGAGUAUCAAAAUAUUGGACGUCGAUUUGCGAAUGUGACGUCAGAUUUGGACAUCGAUUUGAGAAACGGACGUCGAUUUGAGGUACGGACGUCGAUUAGAGGCCGGACGUCGAUCUGAGUCUAACAUAUA
rnacentral:lncRNA from 1 species